rnacentral:rRNA from 1 species
GACGAACGCUGGCGGCGUGCUUAGCACAUGCAAGUCGAACGGAAAGGCCCUGCUUUUGUGGGGUGCUCGAGUGGCGAACGGGUGAGUAACACGUGAGUAACCUGCCCUUGACUUUGGGAUAACUUCAGGAAACUGGGGCUAAUACCGGAUAGGAGCUCCUGCUGCAUGGUGGGGGUUGGAAAGUUUCGGCGGUUGGGGAUGGACUCGCGGCUUAUCAGCUUGUUGGUGGGGUAGUGGCUUACCAAGGCUUUGACGGGUAGCCGGCCUGAGAGGGUGACCGGCCACAUUGGGACUGAGAUACGGCCCAGACUCCUACGGGAGGCAGCAGUGGGGAAUAUUGCACAAUGGGCGGAAGCCUGAUGCAGCAACGCCGCGUGCGGGAUGACGGCCUUCGGGUUGUAAACCGCUUUCGCCUGUGACGAAGCGUGAGUGACGGUAAUGGGGAAAGAAGCACCGGCUAACUACGU